UACGUAGGGGGCAAGCGUUGUCCGGAUUUACUGGGCGUAAGGCGCGUGUAGGCGGCUACGCAGGUCCGUUGUGAAAACUGGAGGCUCAACCUCCAGACGUCGACGGAAACCGUGUGGCUAGAGUCCGGAAGAGGAGAGUGGAAUUCCUGGUGUAGCGGUGAAAUGCGCAGAUAUCAGGAAGAACACCAAUGGCGAAGGCAGCUCGCUGGGACGUUACUGACGCUGAGACGCGAAAGCGUGGGGAGCAAACAGG
rnacentral:rRNA from 1 species